GACGAACCGUGCAAACGUUGUUCGGAAUCACUGGGCUUAAAGGGCGCGUAGGCGGGGGACCAAGUCCGGGGUGAAAUCUUUCGGCUCAACCGGAAAACUGCCUUGGAUACUGGUCUUCUAGAGGGAGGUAGGGGCAGGUGGAACUUCCGGUGGAGCGGUGAAAUGCGUUGAUAUCGGAAGGAACGCCGGUGGCGAAAGCGACCUGCUGGAUCUCUUCUGACGCUGAGGCGCGAAAGCUAGGGGAGCGAACGGG
rnacentral:rRNA from 1 species